rnacentral:tRNA from 1 species
ACCUUCCUAUUACAAAUAGUAUAAAUGACUUCCAAUCAUUUGGUUUUGGUUAAACUCCAAAGGAAGAUA